rnacentral:rRNA from 1 species
GAUGAACGCUGGCGGCGUGCCUAAUACAUGCAAGUCGAGCGAACAGACGAUGAGCUUUCUCCUCUGCCGUUAGCGGCGGACGGGCGAGUAACACAUGGAUAACCUACCUCUAUUACUGGGAUAACAUCGGGAGACCGGUGCUAAUACUGGAUAAUAUAUUGAACCGCUUGGUUCAAUAGUGCAAGACGCUUUUGCUGUCACUUAUAGAUGGAUCCGCGCCGCAUUAGCUAGUUGGUAAGGUAACGGCUUACCAAGGCAACGAUGCGUAGCUGACCUGAGAGGAUGAUCAGCCACACUGGAACUGAGACACGGUCCAGACUCCUACGGGAGGCAGCAGUAGGGAAUAUUGCACAAUGGGCGAAAGCCUGACGGAGCAACACCGCGUGAGUGAUGAAGGUCUUCGGAUCGUAAAGCUCUUUUGUUAGGAAAGAAAAAAAGUGGGAGUAACUACGCCUGUCUUGACGGUACCCAAAGAGAAAGCCCCGGCUAACUACGUG